rnacentral:misc_RNA from 1 species
ACAGAGCUCAUGACAAGUUUUGAGUAUUUUAGAAAAGCUUUUUUGCUCUUUUUCUAUGUUCCAAGCCUAAUGAAGGUUCUUGUUGAGGCAAAUGUCCUGUUGCUCUCUAGAAUAGGUCUUCAAAAACUUGUUCAGCUAGGGGCUUCUGAUCCUACAAAAAAAGAUUGGCUAGCUUAGCAGAUCUUGUUUUGGGAGGGAAAAAUCUGUUGUGGCCAUGGCGAUUAGGUAAGUUGUUUUGGAUGAUAUUCAUGCUAGAAUUAGUUUGGUUAAAAUGUCUGUCUUAAUACCUGAAAGUAUUUCUCCAUAUGCACUCUCAUAUACGAAGGGCCGGGAGGAGUUUUUUUCACUGCCUGGGUGCCUUUUAUU